rnacentral:ncRNA from 2 species
GCUAGAAAGGAAAUGUCUGGUCAUGCCGGGGCAAUCCGGCUGCUAAGAGGGAAUUUGGUGCGCCGCCGAUGCGGUCAGGCCAAAGCCGCCCCCGCGACUGUAAGCGGUUAGCCUCUGUUCAACCAGCCACUCCCGGCCCAACCCGGGGGGAAGGCGAACAGAGGCAGCGACCCGCGAGCCAGGAGACCUGCCAGGCGAGAAACGCAAGA